rnacentral:rRNA from 1 species
AAUGAACGCUGGCGGCAUGCCUAACACAUGCAAGUCGAACGAAGCCUUCGGGCUUAGUGGCGCACGGGUGCGUAACGCGUGGGAAUCUGCCCUUGGGUUCGGGAAUAACAGUGGGAACUACUGCUAAUACCGAAUGAUGUCGUAAGACCAAAGAUUUAUCGCCCACGGGAUGAGCCCGCCGUAGGAUUAGCUAGUUGGUGUGGUAAAGGCGCACCAAGGCGACGAUCCUUAG